UGUGAUCAUACUGGAUCAAGACAUUUGGAAAAGGGACUAAGCUCAUAGUAACUCCCUCUGGUAGAAGACUUCCUGCAGACAUUUCCCCCAAGCCCACCAUUUUCCUUCCUUCAGUUGCUGAAAUAAACCUCCAUAAGGCUGGAACAUGUCUUUGUCUUCUUGAGAAUUUUUUCCCAGAUGUUAUAAAUGUAUAUUGGAAAGAAAAGAACGGCAAUACCAUUCUGCAAUCCCAGGAGGGAAAAACCAUGAAGACUAAAGACACAUACAUGAAAUUCAGCUGGCUGACCGUGACGGGAAGGUCAAUGGAUAAAGAACACAGAUGUAUCGUCCAACACGAGAAGAAUAGAGGAGGGGUUGACC